CUUUAAUGCUGAGAUUUCACCAGGAGAGACUGUGGUUAUAAGAAAUCUGAUGGUGAAUGAGCUACACCUUUACCUUUACUGCUGAGCUACAUCUACAUCAUAGGCAGUUGCAAUAUUUUUCCUCCUUAAAAAUAGGUUUAGUUGAGUGUAAACACUGACUACAGCUUACUAGUAUAAUUUUAGUUGAAUUUUCUAUUACAUUUCCAGAUUUCUGACAUUUUAACAGGGGUGUAUGAACUUUUUAUUUCCAUUGUAUGAGCAGAAAAUUACAAUCCAUAAUCUACAGCCAUUGUAAUGGCAGAUGAUCCACUAGAGCAGGAGUCUUCAAUCUUAUACACAAAGGUCUGGUGUGGCUGCAGUCUUUUAAAGCAGACAAAUAAGAGGCAUUGCUUGAUAUCUGAGACUGGAUAUGAGCUGAUUAAUGUGGAGUCAGUUGUGUCUGAAAGCCUGCAGCCACAUCAACACUGUGGGUAAGAUUGAAGAGCCCUGCACUAGUGACACAAAAUACAGAUAUAACUGUGUAGAGGUAGUUUAUGUACAGAUAAAUGCUGCUACAAAUAAAUCACUACUAAACUGAACAGAGAAACAGAUCUGAUCUACUCAAAAUAUUACUGGAAAUUAUUUAUUUAAUUUUAUUAAAUUCAUUAAGCAUUUGGUAUAUCAGAACAAUAUUAUAGGAAUCUGCAAUGAAAUUCCAUUAAUGUUUAUAAAUCAAUUCAUGAUCAGAAAGAAAAGAAAGAAAGAAAGAAAGAAAGAAAGAAAGGGUAACAUCAUUUUAAGGCCACCUGCAUCGUGCUUUUAAAAUACAUUCAUAAGCAUAGCAUAAAUAUUUUAUAAAGCAGUGUCAAAUUUCUUUGUCAAAUACAAUUUUGUUUGAAGACAUGACUAUUAUAUGUGACAUGCAAAAACAGAGGACUCAGUAACAGGGCAAAUAAUUCCUCUUUAUGCAAGUUAGUGGAUUACAUUAUUUUGUAGAAUGAUAUUAUUAUGAUAAUCAUAAUUGAAUAUACAAAUAAUUCACUACAGAACUGAACGAAAGAAACAAAUCGGAUCAAUCUAAAUCUGUUUUCUACACACACUUUUUGAACAGAAAAUAAUAAUAAGGUAUUAAACAGUAUCUAUGGAGUAUCUAAGUAAAUCUCUAAUAUUAAUAUUUUUCUCUUUUCAGAACUGCAGAGACUGAGUGUGGAAUACGAGUUAUUAAAGAAGAAGCAGUAUGCAGUGGAUGUGACUCUGGAUCCUGAUACAGCUCAUCCAUUUCUCAUCCUGUCUGCUGAUGGAAAAGAAGUGACAUGUGGAGACAGAUGGCAGAAUCUC